AUGGCCCGACCCAGCCGCUAGGAAGUUCGCAGAGCCUGCGAGUGUAGCGCGGCGCGCGGUAGCUUCGGUGGGCGCGCUCGGGAGGCGAGGGCGGGGCCGGGGCGGGGCGGGGCUCGGGCUCCCGGGGCUGGCGGCAGGGGGCGGGACCCCAGGGAGUGCCCCGCCCCUGCCUAGUGCUAGGCGGCGCGUCGGUGUUAGGGUCCCCACUUCCCUGCGCGGCCCCGCGUACUCCAAGGACCCCAACCUGUUAGGUGAGUCCCUCCCUUGGGGAGGGGCGAUGAGGGCCGCGCGAGGCGCUAGUUGCGCGCGCGCAUGCGCCUCCCGCCCCUCUCCCGGGACACCAGGGCUGCGCGUCUCCCAGGAGGCACAGACGCCCCUCCCUCUACAGGCGGGAAAACUGAGGCUGUGGAGGGGACGCUCUUGACCAAGUCCCACGGUGAGGUGGGCCGAGGAAGGGGUGGGACCCCGGCCCCCAGACUCCCAGGCGCCUUUCCAGCAAGCCCAGCGUACUCUGCGUGUCGCGGGCCACUUUUGGUCUAACUGUCGCGCGUGGGUCAGUGUCGCGGCGGUGUGCGCCUCGGACCGGGAAGCGCCCGCGCCGGCGUAUCUGUGCCUCGGCGCGUCUACGAACGGCACGUGUCUUUACAGCCGCGCGUGUGCCCGCAAGUGGGUGUGCGCGCCGUGCCGCCCGGGAAGCGGGAGGUCCCGCGGGCGUGCGCCGGACCUGUUGUCAGCAGGCCUGGCAGAUGGGAACUCAGCUCCGGAAUUAAUUGCCUGUUUGUCUCCGGCUGGGAGGCCGCCCCCCCACUUCCCCGGCGACCAGUUGCUCUGUGCCGAGCCGGGCCCCGAAUGUCGCCGGCAUCCGCGGCCGCAGGCAGCUCCGGGGCCAGGCUCCGGGUCAGCCCCAAAGCCGGGGUCAAGCCAGGCGGGCGCGGCGGGCGGGCUCCCCGUGACGCGAGCGCCCCCUGCCGGCCGCUGCGCACACGGCUCCGAGACUGGGGCAACCCAGCGCCGAGCGUCCCAGACCUGAGGCGCACGCGGAAACUCCGAAGGUCGUGAUCCCGGCGGAGACCGGGACACGCGACUGCCGGCGCAUACACCUGGAGAAAGAAAACGGGCGUCAGCCCACAUCCGGAUCUGGGUGCCCAGGACAACACCCAAACCCCACCCCGCACUGCCGGCUGACAGCACCGCCUCCCGCCGCUCCACUGCUCCUGGACACACACACUCUAUAUCCCGGGCCCCCCACCCACACACGCAGCCCAGAAGCACGCAGCGGUCGGGAGCCCCGGUCCUGUGCCCCGGGCCAGCCACACCCGCAACUUCAGCGCUUCUACCGCCGUGGCGCUUCGGGAAGCACAAGCUCACAUCCCAUAUCCGCAGAACACGGGGUGCACGAGGGGGCUGAAGUCACCUCGGGGGCUCACAGUCAGGGGCCCCUGACCCCCUACUUCGCCCAUCCUAGCAAGGCGCAAGAAUCACCAUAAACGCUGGAUUUGCUGGCCACAUGGCCGAUCGUGACCACCUGCUCUGUAUCCACCCAGGCUUCAGGUCAGGAGAGAGGCGGGGAAGAGCUGCCCCCUCUCUGCGUCCACUAUCACUCCUGGCCUGGGAUCAGGGCAAGUUAUAAAGGGGGCCAGAGUCCCCCCUUUCUCCCUGUCCCUGUCCAGGAGGACACUCGGGGGACUAUCCACCCUCCCUCCCCCACAGGAAGGGGACUGGGGAGGACUGUCCUCUUCCCCACCCUGUCUCAUCCAAGACCCUGAGCCUGGGGCGGGGGUGGGGGGGCUCCCUUCAGCGGACCAAGGGCUUCUGGGAGGCCACCCGCCAUGUCAGUGGAUUGAUUAAAGUCAUUGUGGGG